rnacentral:rRNA from 1 species
AUUGAACGCUGGCGGCAGGCUUAACACAUGCAAGUCGAACGAGAGGCGGACGGGUGAGCAAUGCUUUGGCAUCUGGCUUAUGGAGGGGGAUAACUACGGGAAACUGUAGCUAAUACCGCGCACCUAAGGCUGAGCCCUAGUGAGAUUAGGUAGUUGGUGAGGUAAAGGCUCACAAAGCCGACGAUCUCUAGCUGGUCUCAGAGGAUGACCAGCCACACUGGGACGUAGACACGGCCCAGACGCCUACGGGAGGCAGCAGUGGGGAAUAUUGCGCAAUGGGGGCAACCUGACGCAGCCAUGCCGCGUGAAUGAAGAAGGCCUUCGGGUUGUAAAGUUCUUUCGGUAGCGAGGCGUUAACUACAGAAGAAGCACCGGCUAACUCCGUGCCAGCAGCCGCGGUAAUUC